GGGAUUUACUGCCCCCCUCCUGGGUUUGAGUCAUCUGGCUCCGUCCUCUCAGGACAGCCCCUUCCAAGGCACUGGUGGCCACUCCCACCUCUCGUCCAUCCAGGCCCAGGCCUGCCAACAGCUCCCCAUCGUUACCAGCCCCAGCGCCCCACUCCCCGGGGACUCCAUCCCUUGUGUCUCCCUCCAUCUGCCCUCACUUUGGGAAAGAGCCCCUUUAUGAAAGCCUUGUGCAUCAUCUGAUUUGAGAGUGCCAGCUGGACCCUGCCAGGACCCUGACCAAGCCGCUCAGGGUGUAAAAAACGAAGUCGCACAGAAGGGAAGCUGCCGUCCCACCCUGUCCUCCAGUCUCCCGGUUCCCAUCCCCAGAAACGACCAGUGUGCCCAGGAUCCUUUGUAUCAGUCCAUCCAGAAACACGAUAGCAAGGGGGCAGAGUCCAGAAACCGGGGCUUUCUGGAAUUGCUGAUGUUUUAUGUUGAGGCUGUGGCUCACUGACACCUGUCCACCAGAGGGACGUCUGAACUGAUAACCGCCUUCUGCCAGACCAACGCAUCGGCACUUCCUGGUCCCACGAAUUCAGGACGUCCCUCCGGCCUUUUCCUGGUUGGAACCAGGUUACUUGUCUUGUAAACACCCAGAGCGGGGAAACCACGUCUGAGAAACCCAAGGGGCUGAGACAGAAUUUCUGCAACUUGCUGGAUCCUGAGAAAACUGCCUGAGGUGUUUGUUUAAAGAAGAGAUUCUGUGGCAUUUCUGCUAGAAAGUGAUUCAGG
rnacentral:lncRNA from 1 species